GAUGAACGCUGGCGGCGUGCCUAAUACAUGCAAGUCGAGCGAACGGACGAGAAGCUUGCUUCUCUGAUGUUAGCGGCGGACGGGUGAGUAACACGUGGAUAACCACCUAUAAGACUGGGAUAAAUUCGGGAAACCGGAGCUUAUACCGGAUAAUUUUUUGGACCGCCUGGUUCAAAAGUGAAAGAAGGGCUUGCUGUCACUUAAUGAUGGAUCCGCGCUGCAUUAGCUAGUUGGUAAGGUAACGGCUUACCAAGGCAACGAUGCAUAGCCGACCUGAGAGGGUGAUCGGCCACACUGGAACUGAGACACGGUCCAGACUCCUACGGGAGGCAGCAGUAGGGAAUCUUCCGCAAUGGGCGAAAGCCUGACGGAGCAACGCCGCGUGAGUGAUGAAGGUCUUCGGAUCGUAAAACUCUGUUAUUAGGGAAGAACAUAUGUGUAAGUAACUGUGCACAUCUUGACGGUACCUAAUCAGAAAGCCACGGCUAACUACGUG
rnacentral:rRNA from 1 species